AGUCUAGGCCAUACCACCCUGAACGCGCCGAUCUCGUCUGAUCUCGGAAGCUAAGCAGGGUCGGGCCUGGUUAGUACUUGGAUGGGAGAAGUAAAAUGAGACCCAAUUAAGGCUU
rnacentral:rRNA from 1 species